CCCCAGGAUGGUUCGUGCAUUUCCAGGAGCUCCUCCCGGAUCCCCCUUGGAAAAGUUGGAAUCCCAGCUGGUUUUUGGUGGCACUCGGACGGUUGCACAAGGAAAAGAAACCCAGCUCCCCGUGGCUGAUUCAGAGGCUGUAGGAAGAUUUUGUUGGACAAAUCCAUGGACCAGGGAAUUUUCCAUGGAAUCCUUUGACCGGAGGGCUCCUCAUCUUGUCCCACCUUUUCAAUCCGAGUGACCAUGGAGAAACCUUUGGGAUCAUGGAAGAAACCUUUGGGAUCAUGGAUGUGGCCUUUGGGUCCAUGGAAGUGGCCUUGGGAUCACUGGGAUGAACUC